rnacentral:tRNA from 1 species
GGGCAAGUGGCGGAACUGGUAUACGCGCACGGUUCAGAGCCGUGUGGCCGCAAGGUCGUGAGGGUUCAAAUCCCUCCUUGCCCACCA